rnacentral:rRNA from 1 species
AGGACGAACGCUGGCGGCGUGCUUAACACAUGCAAGUCGAACGAUGAACCGGAGCUUGCUCCGGGGAUUAGUGGCGAACGGGUGAGUAACACGUGGGCAACCUGCCCCAGACACCGGGAUAACCUUCCGAAAGGAUGGCUAAUACCGGAUACGACCACUUCGGGCAUCCGACGGUGGUGGAAAGGAUUCUGGUCUGGGAUGGGCCCGCGGCCUAUCAGCUUGUUGGUGGGGUAAUGGCCUACCAAGGCGACGACGGGUAGCCGGCCUGAGAGGGCGACCGGCCACACUGGGACUGAGACACGGCCCAGACUCCUACGGGAGGCAGCAGUGGGGAAUAUUGCGCAAUGGGCGAAAGCCUGACGCAGCGACGCCGCGUGAGGGACGAAGGUCUUCGGAUUGUAAACCUCUUUCAGCAGGGACGAAGCGAAAGUGACUGUACCUGCAGAAGAAGCACCGGCUAACUACGUG